GACGAACGCUGGCGGCGUGCUUAACACAUGCAAGUAGAACGGAAAGGCCCUGCUUUUGUGGGGUGCUCGAGUGGCGAACGGGUGAGUAACACGUGAGUAACCUGCCCUUGACUUUGGGAUAACUUCAGGAAACUGGGGCUAAUACCGGAUAGGAGCUCCUGCUGCAUGGUGGGGGUUGGAAAGUUUCGGCGGUUGGGGAUGGACUCGCGGCUUAUCAGCUUGUUGGUGGGGUAGUGGCUUACCAAGGCUUUGACGGGUAGCCGGCCUGAGAGGGUGACCGGCCACAUUGGGACUGAGAUACGGCCCAGACUCCUACGGGAGGAAGCAGUGGGGAAUAUUGCACAAUGGGCGGAAGCCUGAGGCAGAAACGCCGCGUGCGGGAUGACGGCCUUCGGGUUGUAAACCGCUUUCGCCUGUGACGAAGCGUGAGUGACGGUAAUGGGUAAAGAAGCACCGGCGAACUACGU
rnacentral:rRNA from 1 species